rnacentral:rRNA from 1 species
UGGGGAAUAUUGCACAAUGGGCGCAAGCCUGAUGCAGCCAUGCCGCGUGUGUGAAGAAGGCCUUCGGGUUGUAAAGCACUUUCAGCGAGGAGGAAGGUGGUGGACUUAAUACGUUCAUCAAUUGACGUUACUCGCAGAAGAAGCACCGGCUAACUCCGUGCCAGCAGCCGCGGUAAUACGGAGGGUGCAGGCGUUAAUCGGAAUUACUGGGCGUAAAGCGCACGCAGGCGGUUUGUUAAGUCAGAUGUGAAAUCCCCGGGCUCAACCUGGGAACUGCAUUUGAAACUGGCAAGCUAGAGUCUCGUAGAGGGGGGUAGAAUUCCAGGUGUAGCGGUGAAAUGCGUAGAGAUCUGGAGGAAUACCGGUGGCGAAGGCGGCCCCCUGGACGAAGACUGACGCUCAGGUGCGAAAGCGUGGGGAGCAAACAGGAUUAGAUACCCCUGGUAGUCCACGUGUAAACGAUGUCGAUUUUGGAGGUUGUGCCCUUGAGGCGUGGCUUCCGGAGCUAACGCG